AUUACGGUGUUGGUAGAUAUGUUAAAAUAUUGUGAAUAUAUAUAUAUAUAUAUAGAGAGAGAGAGAGAGUCUUGCUACUAUACUCUUAUGAGUACGAUCGUUCUCGUUCUCAUAAGUUGUUUGUUUUCGAUGAUAGGGCUUUCGAAACGACGAUCCACACUAUUAAACGUUAUCUAGAGCAUUUAAAACGUCUAGAAAUCAAAUUUUAUAAUUUUUUGACAUCAUUUACCUUACGAUCAAAAGCUCAAAAAAUUGACAAUUUUUAACAACCGGUAUAAAAUAUUUGCUAGUUUAACGGUGUAAAAGAAUCAGAAUAGAUUGAAGUUUUGAUAGAAAAUUCUAUUCACUACCUAAAUAAAGAUCAAUAACUCCGAUCUUAAUUGAAGGAUCUGAUCAUCCAUUUUUAUGAUGUCGUUCGAUUUUGACCAUUCAUUUUAUACCUGCUUGAUUGACUUUAUAAUGAUUUCGAAAAAUUACGAAAUUUAUUAUCUAAAAGUUUCAAAUUAGGGAUGCAAAUGGAUCCGGGUUGGUGGAGCUCCGCCCCGAUCCGCUCCGAAUGGAGUGAUAAGUGGGAACAAAAAAUAUAAAAAAAUAUAACCCGCCCCGAAUCCGCCCCGAUCCGCUAAGUAAAUGGAGCGGGAGGUGAGAGACUCUUUUCUUCCUUCAAUCCGCCCCGAUCCGUCAAAAAUUCGGCUCCCGUCCUGAUCCGCCCCAAAUGGAGUGGUAAGUGGGAGCCAAAAAUAAAAUAAAAAGUAACCCGCCCCGAAUCCGCCCCGCCCCGAUAAGAAAUGGAGCGGGAGGUGGGNNNNNNNNNNNNNNNNNNNNNNNNNGCAUUAAGAGAUGUCCGGUUGGUAUGAUGUGGGACUCCUAAGGUUGAGUGAAUGGUUGGUUGAAUAAUAUGAUCUAACGGAUGAAGAUGAUUAAAGGGGUGGAUCUAACGGUAAAAAAUUUACAAGUAUCAAGUAUUUGGCGCUUUUACAAGUAUCAUAGCCGGACUUAUAUAUAUAUAUAUAUAUAUAUAUAUAUAUAUAUAUAUAUAUAUAUAUAUAUAUAUAUAUAUAGUUACUAUUCUAUCAGAAGUAUAGAGAAUCUGAUACUUCCAACUUUUUGGCAUUUAAAAUUGGUGCUAAUAUAGCCUAGUUCUAUAUAUAUAUAUAUAUAUCUAUACUACUUAUAAAAGCGUGAGUUUUGAAAUUUUUUCCUUUCCAAAAAUGUCUCUAUCUUUUUUACUAAUAUUGUCAUGUCCAAUAAAUUUCAACCACUCAUUUUAAAUAAAUCUUUAAAUAAUAAUUUAUUCUUAAAUAUAGAUAUUAAGUUUUCGCCAUUAGAUCUCAUCUAACGAAUAAAAAUAAAAGUAUCUGUCAUUUUUGUUGACAAAAAUACCCUCUAUAUUCGUUAUCUCCUAUGUACGUCGCGUUUCUCAUAUAUAUUUUUUUCUACCCACCAUACGUAAAACUAAAUUUAUCUCUUAUCUAACGUAAUACCCGCCAAUCAUGCAAUACCUUCGCUAAUCACGUAAUACGUAAAUUAAAUUUAUUUGCUGCCAACAUGUAGUAUUCAAAAUUAAAAUUUAAAUUUGUAAUGCCCGCAUAAAUUUAAUACCCGCGAAUUUGAUAAUUUGAAUUUUAAUUUAAAAUAUUUCUCUUUUUAUCAUUUCACAUGAAUAAAAUUAUUAAGAACUAAUUAUUUGGAUGGAUUGAAGUAUGAAUUGAAUUAGAUUGAUUUUCUAGGACAAGAUAAUGCUAACACACAUUGGCAUGAAAAAAUUAUUAAUAACUAAUUAUUUGGAUGGAUUGAAGUAUGAAUCGAAUUAGAUUCAUACUCUAGAACAAGAUAGUGCUAUAACACACAUUGGCAUUUGGAGGGACACUAUUGUAAACAAUUCAGUUGUUGUAUAAAAAUAGUGCACUUUAAUAUCCAUAAUUAGGAUAAAUGUACUUUUAAUAUUUUAUUUUUUUAUGGUAUUUUGAAUUUAUUUAUCAAGAUCAAUUUAGCAAAAUUUUAUAAGUAAAAUUGUGCUUAAUCCAAUAAUUCCAAAAACUCAAGAAAUAAAAUUAAGCUAAAUUUUUUACUUAUAUGAAUUCUUAUUAAAUUUACAUUUUUUUUAAUUUUAUCUAUUCUGAUGAUUUACUAAUAUUUAUUUUAUU
rnacentral:lncRNA from 1 species